rnacentral:rRNA from 1 species
GACGAACGCUGGCGGCGUGCUUAACACAUGCAAGUCGAACGGAAAGGCCCUGCUUGCAGGGUACUCGAGUGGCGAACGGGUGAGUAACACGUGGGUGAUCUGCCCUGCACUUCGGGAUAAGCCUGGGAAACUGGGUCUAAUACCGGAUAGGAGCCAUUUUUAGUGUGAUGGUUGGAAAGUUUUUUUCGGUGUAGGAUGAGCUCGCGGCCUAUCAGCUUGUUGGUGGGGUAAUGGCCUACCAAGGCGGCGACGGGUAGCCGGCCUGAGAGGGUGGACAGCCACAUUGUGACUGAGAUACGGCCCAGACUCCUACGGGAGGCAGCAGUGGGGAAUAUUGCACAAUGGGCGCAAGCCUGAUGCAGCGACGCCGCGUGGGGGAUGACGGCCUUCGGGUUGUAAACUCCUUUCGCUAGGGACGAAGCUUUUUGUGACGGUACCUAGAUAAGAAGCACCGGCUAACUACGUG